UUGGCUAUAAGGAGAGGAGACGGACAGCUAGGUGAGGAGAGAGGAGCCGGACAGCUAGGUGAGGAGAGAGGAGCCUGACAGCUAGGUGAGGAGAGAGGAGCCUGACAGCUAGGUGAGGAGAGAGGAGCCGGACAGCUAGGUGAGGAGACGGACAGCUAGGUGAGGAGACGGACAGCUAGGUGAGGAGACGGACAGCUAGGUGAGGAGACGGACAGCUAGGUGAGGAGACGGACAGCUAGGUGAGGAGACGGACAGCUAGGUGAGGAGACGGACAGCUAGGUGAGGAGACGGACAGCUAGGUGAGGAGACGGACAGCUAGGUGAGGAGACGGACAGCUAGGUGAGGAGACGGACAGCUAGGUGAGGAGACGGACAGCUAGGUGAGGAGACGGACAGCUAGGUGAGGAGACGGACAGCUAGGUGAGGAGUGAGGAGACUGACAGCUAGGUGAGGAGAGAGGAGACGGACAGCUAGGUGAGGAGAGAGGAGACUGACAGCUAGGUGAGGAGACUGACAGCUAGACCCGGCCUGGGGCUGUAUAUGUGGUAGCCAGUCUCUCCUGUAACCCACACAUCCCCGAAGUGGUCCUCUCUUUAGUGAAGAGUGGCAGAGGUUGAUAUCUUGAUCCAUUGACGAUGACACAGACUUUGAUCCAUCUCUGGUUUCAACAG